rnacentral:rRNA from 1 species
CAGCAGCCGCGGUAACACGGAGGGGGCUAGCGUUGUUCGGAAUUACUGGGCGUAAAGCGCACGUAGGCGGCUUGGUAAGUUAGAGGUGAAAGCCCGGAGCUCAACUCCGGAAUUGCCCUUAAGACUGCCGAGCUAGCAGGUGAGAGAGGUAAGUGGAAUUCCGAGUGUAGAGGUGAAAUUCGUAGAUAUUCGGAAGAACACCAGUGGCGAAGGCGGCUUACUGGCUCAUACUGGACGCUGAGGUGCGAAAGCGUGGGGAGCAAACAGGAUUAGAUACCCCCGUAGUCCCUGUCUCUUAUAC